rnacentral:rRNA from 1 species
AUUGAACGCUGGCGGCAGGCUUAACACAUGCAAGUCGAGCGGGGACUUCGGUCCUAGCGGCGAACGGGUGAGGAAUGCUUGGGAAUCUGCCCAGUAGCGGGGGAUAACGUUUCGAAAGGAGCGCUAAUACCGCAUACGCCCUACGGGGGAAAGGGGGGGAUCUUCGGACCUCUCACUAUUGGAUGAGCCCAAGUCGGAUUAGCUAGUUGGGGGGGUAAAGGCCUACCAAGGCGACGAUCCGUAGCUGGUCUGAGAGGAUGAUCAGCCACACUGGAACUGAGACACGGUCCAGACUCCUACGGGAGGAAGCAGUGGGGAAUAUUGGACAAUGGGCGAAAGCCUGAUCCAGCUAUGCCGCGUGUGUGAAGAAGGCCUUCGGGUUGUAAAGCACUUUAAGCGAGGAGGAAUGGCUCUUGGCUAAUAACCUUGAGCAGUGACGUUACUCGCAGAAUAAGCACCGGCUAACUCUGUGCCAGCAGCCGCCGUAAUAC